UAGGGAAUCUUCGGCAAUGGGGGGAACCCUGACCGAGCAACGCCGCGUGAGUGAAGAAGGUUCUCGGAUCGUAAAGCUCUGUUUUUAAGGAAGAACGAGUGUGAGAAUGGAAAGUUCAUACUGUGACGGUACUUAACCAGAAAGGGACGGCUAACUACGUGCCAGCAGCCGCGGUAAUACGUAGGUCCCGAGCGUUGUCCGGAUUUAUUGGGCGUAAAGCGAGCGCAGGCGGUUAGAUAAGUCUGAAGUUAAAGGCAGUGGCUCAACCAUUGUAGGCUUUGGAAACUGUUUGACUGGAGUGCAGAAGGGGAGAGUGGAAUUCCAUGUGUAGCGGUAAAAUGCGUAGAUAUAUGGAGAAACACCGGUGGCGAAAGCGGCUCUCUGGUCUGUAACUGACGCUGAGGCUCGAAAGCGUGGGGAGCGAACAGG
rnacentral:rRNA from 1 species